rnacentral:rRNA from 1 species
UGGGGAAUUUUGGACAAUGGGCGCAAGCCUGAUCCAGCAAUGCCGCGUGCAGGAAGAAGGCCUUCGGGUUGUAAACUGCUUUUGUACGGAACGAAAAGGCUCUGGUUAAUACUUGGGGCACAUGACGGUACCGUAAGAAUAAGCACCGGCUAACUACGUGCCAGCAGCCGCGGUAAUACGUAGGGUGCAAGCGUUAAUCGGAAUUACUGGGCGUAAAGCGUGCGCAGGCGGUUAUGUAAGACAGAGGUGAAAUCCCCGGGCUCAACCUGGGAACUGCCUUUGUGACUGCAUAGCUUGAGUGCGGCAGAGGGGGAUGGAAUUCCGCGUGUAGCAGUGAAAUGCGUAGAUAUGCGGAGGAACACCGAUGGCGAAGGCAAUCCCCUGGGCCUGCACUGACGCUCAUGCACGAAAGCGUGGGGAGCAAACAGGAUUAGAUACCCUGGUAGUCCACGCCCUAAACGAUGUCAACUGGUUGUUGGGAAGGUUCCUUCUCAGUAACGUAGCUAACGCGUGAANUUGACCGCCUGGGGAGUACGGCCGCAAGGUUG